rnacentral:rRNA from 1 species
CGUAGGGGGCAAGCGUUGUCCGGAAUCAUUGGGCGUAAAGCGCGUGUAGGCGGUCCGAUAAGUCGGCUGUGAAAGUCCGGGGCUCAACCCUGGGAUGCCGGCCGAUACUGUCGGACUAGAGUUCGGAAGAGGCGAGUGGAAUUCCCGGUGUAGCGGUGAAAUGCGCAGAUAUCGGGAGGAACACCAAUGGCGAAGGCAGCUCGCUGGGACGUUACUGACGCUGAGACGCGAAAGCGUGGGGAGCAAACAGGAUUAGAUACCCUGGUAGUCCACGCCGUAAACGAUGGGCACUAGGUGUGGGAGGUGUCGACUCCUCCCGUGCCGGAGCUAACGCAUUAAGUGCCCCGCCUGGGGAGUACGGCCGCAAGGCUA